rnacentral:lncRNA from 1 species
AUUGUAUAUCCGCAUUGUUCUCAUCAUAAAGUUUCUAAAUAGGAUACGAUGGAAAUUGAAUACAUGUUAGGUCAAUAAAGAGUCUUCUUUUAACAUAUUAAAUAUAAGAGUUCUAUUUUAGAAUUAAAAUAUCGGGUCAAACUAGAAUAAGCUCACAAAAAUACAUCGCGAAUAUUUAAAUUGUAGUCAGAUAAAGCUAGAAUACGCA